rnacentral:rRNA from 1 species
GACGAACGCUGGCGGCGUGCUUAACACAUGCAAGUCGAACGGAAAGGCCCUGCUUUUGUGGGGUGCUCGAGUGGCGAACGGGUGAGUAACACGUGAGUAACCUGCCCUUUACUUUGUGAUAACUUCAGGAAACUGGGGCUAAUACCGGAUAGGAGCUCCUGCUGCAUGGUGGGGGUUGGAAAGUUUCGGCGGUUGGGGAUGGACUCGCGGCUUAUCAGCUUGUUGGUGGGGUAGUGGCUUACCAAGGCUUUGACGGGUAGCCGGCCUGAGAGGUUGACCGGCCACAAUGGGACUGAGAUACGGACCAGACUCCUACGGGAGGCAGCAGGGGGGAAUAUUGCACAAUGGGCGGAAGCCUGAUGCAGCAACGCCGCGUGCGGGAUGAAGGCCUUCGGGUUGUAAACCGCUUUCGCCUGUGACGAAGCGUGAGUGACGGUAAUGGGUAAAGAAGCACCGGCUAACUACGUG